CUAGUUCCAGGACGGGCUCCAAAGCUACAGAAAAACGUGCCUUGAAAAACAAAAACAACAACAACAAAAAGUAACUGUGCUUUCUUAGUACUGUGUCUUGUUCCAGAUCAUAAACUAAGACCACCAGUGGCCUCCCUGUUAAUAUACAUAUUCACAACAAAUUUGUGUUCUAUAGAGUUUAUCAAAUUGAAGAGUCUCUAGCUGCAUGGCCAUCUCUUUAACAGAGUUCAUGAUUUUGAGUGACACUUAAUUGCUCAAGAAUUUACUUCUAGAGCUAAUCUACCUGUCCAUUCUAUACUUUAAAAUAUGUUCCUGGAUUCAGGGAGUUAACAUUUAAUUGGGAAAUUCAUAUUAGGCAAACUAUAAAAUUUUCUAUUGCUGCCUUAUCCUAAACCAAGUAUCAGCCAACACCAUAAAAUGCGGCGGGCAGAGUCCCCUUCCUAUUUUCUGAAAUGUUUUGGCUCCUCAAGUCUGGUGAGACUGGCCUGUCCAGACUGCAGACGUGAACCUUCUGUCUGGGGCACAACGCAUGAUCUUAGCUUUCAAUUCUUUACAGCGCUGUGCUGUACACAUUUUCCGUUUCUCGACAUUAUGUAUUCAGUAUAUAUUCUCCAAAUCAUAAAGGGGUUUAAAAGGUUUUGCCUUCUUUAUGAUAUUCUCUCACUGUCUCUCUGUCGCUUAUUCCUGGUCACUUCGCAAAUGCCUUGUUUUAGUUUGGCUAAACCAUUGUGAUCCUAGACUCGAGGCUCCCUUUACCCUCCUUACAGGUUUGCUUCCUGUUGAUCUUUGUCUGGCUGGUUUUGGUUUUGUUUGCUUGGGGCUUUGUUGUUAUUUGUUCGUUGUUUUGUUUUUUGAGGCAAGGUCUCAAUGUGUAGCUCCCACUGACCUUGAACUCUUAAACCUCCUGCCUCAGUCUCCCAAGUGCCGGACUACAGACAAGCAUGAUCAGAGCCAGCCUAGAGUUUUGUUAAGUUGGAGUUUGUUAAGGUUUAUUUUUUUUUGUGUGUGUGUGUGUAUGGGUGUUUGCCUGUGCGUAUGUAAGUGUGUGUGUGUGUGUGUGUGUGUGUGCACAUAUGUGUGUGCGUGUGUGUGUGCAUAUGUGUGUGUGUACCACAUGUAAACCCAGUGCCCUCAGGGGUUCAGAAGAAGGUGUUGGAUCCCCUGGAACUGGAAUUAGGGAAGGUGGUUGUGAGGUGCAGUGUGGGUGCCGGGAGCAGAAGUGGGGCCUCUGGAGGAGCAGUCAGUACUCUUAACCACUGAACCACCACUCUAGCCCAUUGUUUGGUUUUCUGUCUGUUGAUUAGUUGAUUAAUUUUGGAGAGGUUUUUGUUGUUUUGGUUUGGUUUUUUGGGGUGAAUUGGUAGUUAGCCUUUUCAUUCUCCAGGUUCAUAUCCCUAAAUUUUAUCAUAGUGGUAUCUAGAAAGAUUUUUUUAAAUGACCUCAUCCAAUGUGAAGUCUUAUAUGGAUCUUUAUUUUUUUAAAAAAAAAAUAUUUUGUCAUUAUACACAUCUAUAUCUCUUCUUCUGAGACGUCUUUCAUGGAUCUUGGCAUUUGUGUUCUUCCCUGUCACCAUCUUAGAUAUAACCCUCACGUCUCCUCUCUAGUCCCCUCAGAGACCAAACUCUACCUUCAAAGUGUUCUUGGUGCCAUUCACUCCUCUGUUCCACGCAGGUGAUGAGACUUCCGCCUAGGCUGGUGGGUCUUCCUGCUUCCCAUCCUGGUGUGUUUCUUUGAAGCUACAACGUUUGUUUCAAAUCCUUAUCUGCACCCUGCGGUCGCUGCUGUCCUUCCCAACACUGUCUGUUCAACAGCCAGCUCCUUCCCUAUGGGUCAUGUGGCCAGUGACAGCCAUAGGCAAAGGUGGACUUCUGGGUUUCCACAACUGUGUCCAGCAGGGAGGUGAAGGCAAAGAGAUCCUUGUCUCAGGGCAGAGCCUCCAGCAGGGCAACCUGGGCUCAGAGGUGUUUUUGUCCUGGCUCGUAGGAGCUCCACUCUCAAGGAUUCUCCCAGUUAGGUGCUUCUCUUCCUCAAAUCACUUUUUCAUGGGCUUGGGGAAGAAUCAAAAUAGAAGAAAGUAACAGGUUAGUGUUCCAUUAUUAGCCUGGCAGACUCUGAAACGGCCUGAGGGAGAGCCUCCAGGGGCACCUGUAAGGCAUGAUUUAGAUUAGUUAGGCCCUGCGCAGGCCUGGGCAGAGGUUACCUAGGUUAGGUUAACUGAGGGAGGAAAGGGGAAGGCUAGCUGAGCUCAAGCUUCCCCCACUCUCCUUCUGCCUUCAGAGGCAAUGCCCAGCUGCUUUAGCUGCUGCUGCCUUGACUUCACCACCAUGAUGGGCAACACCCUUCUUCUGUGAGCCAAGGUCGACUCUUCCUUCUCUAAAUUGCUUUUGUCAGGGUAUUUUAUCACGGAAACCCAAGCUGGUACAAGGACUCAGCCUGUUCCUCUUGUCGUUGCUUCAGUUUGCUCACUUCGCCCUGUCUUGAUGCUGACCUAAAUCCAGGGCGUGGAGUAUAUCUCUCUUUGCAGAGUCACUUUUCUAUGCAGGAGGACAAGAAAGGGUCCUGACUCAUGUGGAAGGUCCCUGCUUCCCUCCGCCUGGGCUCAUCUCUGUGGUCCCUGCUUCCCUCUGCCUGGGCAUCUCUAUGGUCUCUAUCUCCCUCCACCUGGGCUCAUCUCUGUGGUCCCUGCUUCCCUCCGCCUGGGCAUCUCUAUGGUCUCUACCUCCCUUCACCUGGGCUCAUCUCUAUGGUCUCUGCUUCCCUCCGCCUGGGCUCAUCUCUGUGCCUGCUCUACAUCCUUUCUACCUGAAGUCUCUGUCCUCUCCAGACUCAGAUCCUCUGAAUCCCCCAAACCCAGCAGCUUUGCUUGGCAUCUUCAGUGGCCUGGGAGACAGGGACCAGCAUCUCAGCUUGUUAGCUGUUUCUUCUGUAAGUGAGAUGACUCCUUCAACCUGCCAAUCAAGGCCCCCUUUGGAGCUAGAUAUUGCCAAGCUGGAUGAUGUUGCCAAGUCCUAACGAUGAGAACCCUGUGGAUACAGGUAGACCCUCUCACUACAAUAGCCUUGCUCAGCUUUUCCACUUCUCUUUCUAGCCACGUUAUAACCUGACCCUUGAGGUCAUAGCCUACUGCCUCAGUUUCCCUGUAUUCCAAAAGAAAUCAGGGAAUGGAAAGUGGCAGAGGAAAGGGAAUCUUCUAAAGUUUGGACAAACUGGGAGAAGAAGAACCCACUUUCUCACUGCUGUGUCUCUGGCAGUCUGACAGUUCGUAGGAAAAACCAAAGGCCAUGUGACACACAGAUUCGGCUGAGCAGCAUAGUAGCCGCUCUUUUUCUGGGACAGGGCGACAAAGCCCCAGGUUGCCUCCCUUCUCAGAAGUGGGUCUGUUCCAAAGGUCUGAGUUACACAAUGAUGGCAGCCAUCUACCAAGCAGUGUUUGUCCGGCACUGACUGCCCAAAGCCAGCAUGUUUCCCUGGCAGGAGUCUCUCCUCUCCAUUGCCUCCCACAGAACUGUCUCUGUCCUCAGUAUCUUUCCAUGUAUUUUUCCAUACAGAGAAUCCCAUGAGGAUUCUCUAAAGUUACUUGGGAGGUCUUUCUUUCCUCAUAGACAAAGCUGAGAUCCACAGGGUGAUCCAGUACACGGUGGUGGGCCAUGCCGCGUCUCCAGACACUGUUCGUUCUCUGGGGGAUAUCGUGCUCUCCAGGCCUCUCCUGCCUACUAACCCCCAAGUCUCCAACUCCACCUUGCCCUGUGCGGCCUCUUGGCCCUGAUUUCUUCCGCACUCCUUCAUAUGAACUUUGUGACCCUGGACAUCUGCCUCUGGACAUCUUCCACAGGGUACCUUUCUUUGAAUCUAUUACCUACCUGACCCCCUCUGAGGUGGCCACUGACUCCCUUUGAGUCCACUGCCACUGCAGUUGACAGGAGCCCCACGACCAGUGGCUGCACUCUCCCCAGCGGGUCUGGCAGCCUCCGCUCUUACCUGCUCCUGCCCAGUCUCUGAAAUGCAGACAAGUGGAUCUUUCACAGACAGCAGGCUACAGCACCCUUCUGCACAAGGCUACCCACUCGGUGGCUUCCAGAUCAAUCCAUGACAGGCAGUCCUCUCCUUGGGACGGCAGCCUGAGCUCGACACUUCCCUGCGUUGCCACUGCCUCUGGUGAGGGCUUGUUCCUUGUCUCCCUAGAGCAAAUGGGCCCUGUUUCUCUUCAAUGCUUCUGGCACCAUAUUGGUUGCUCGCCCCAAUUAGAAUGUAAACAGUUUGUCCUUUUUCUGUUUUCCCAGCAGCUCUCAGUGCUGUGAUCUAGAGAAAUAUUGGGUGAAUGAGUGAAUGAAUCAAUCAACUAAUGCUCUGUUCCGGAGUUCAAAACCUGCCUCAAGUGCGCUAGCUACGGUUCCGUCUUAGUGUCAGAGGGGAAGGUUAGAUAGAAGUUUUUAAAUUGUGUUAUUUGACAAGUUCAAAAGGGGGAGGGGUGGACAAAGGUAUAGGAAAGAAAUGGACUGUUUUGGGACUAGCUACUUAUGCCUUCUUAGUAGGUGUCUUGAGGAAAUGCUAUGGCACCUAAUCACUGCCAGAAAACUCCAAGAGGUGGCUUGCUUUGUUUCUUGCUGUACUAGGGAAUAGAACUCAGGGCCUUGUGUGCUAGACAAGUACUCUAGGAGAUCAGGGCGUGAUAAGGGCUGUUUAACUGUUAUAGCUGUCACCCUGCCGAUCAUCAGGAUUAAUGUGACUGAUUUGCCGAACUAAGCAGGUGUCCCCUUCCUCUCCCGCUGUUUGUAUGUUCCUCUUUCAAGCGGCACUCGAUGGAAGAGGACAACCUUUCCUAACAAAAGAGGCCCACUGUUUGGCCAAGGGUAUUGAGGAUCUACGAGCUCUCAAGGUGAUAAAGAUGAAGGCUCCUAAGUGGUUUGAACAGAUUGGUGUUUUAGCUGAACUACCUUCUAUGAGGCAAAUAUGGCUGUCCCAGGCUGUCUGGACCUAACAACAGGCUCUUUAGCUGUUUAGCUUUCUGCCUGGAAGAAAAUCAAUGACCUUUCACGCCACCUUUACCUUCAGUGGCGGGAUGUACAGAACCAGAUAAACUUACAUCAUUAAAACAGAGCAUUUCCGGGA